rnacentral:lncRNA from 1 species
GAAAUGGGUUUAAUUUUAAGCUGAUGGGAUGGUUAAGGGGUUCUCAUCUUAAUGAUAUAAUUUGUAAGCGCUCUUAAAAUCCUUAAAAAAACUCAUGUCAAAGUGCAAACUGUAAAGCUGUAGAUUCUUUAUUGAUUAAAACAUCUGCAUUCAGACGAAAUGCUCAUAUGAUGCAAUAGAAUUGAUACCAUGAAAGUUUUAUUUCAAAAGAAUAAUUCACAUCAUGACAUGUUUUGUUCAUAUAUCCUACAUGUUAUUAGAACACCUCAGUUAGUCUGAAAGUGCUUGCCUUGAGUGCAGGAGGUUAUUAAAGGUUCAAACAGGGACCGAGUCAAUGCAAAGACUUGAAAACUGGUAUAAGCUGCUUUGCUAGGCAAAAAGCAUUAAGAAGUAAGAGCAAAGACUGAAUCAACACUUAGUCAGAAUUUUGUG